rnacentral:tRNA from 1 species
UGUUCUGUGGCUUAUUUGGUUAAAGCGCUGGACUAGCGAUGCGGAGUCGUGGGUUCGAAUACCACUAAACAA